GUAGGUGGCAAGCGUUGUCCGGAAUUAUUGGGCGUAAAGCGCGCGCAGGCGGUUCUUUAAGUCUGAUGUGAAAGCCCACGGCUCAACCGUGGAGGGUCAUUGGAAACUGGAGAACUUGAGUACAGAAGAGGAAAGCGGAAUUCCACGUGUGGCGGUGAAAUGCGUAGAGAUGUGGAGGAACACCAGUGGCGAAGGCGGCUUUCUGGUCUGUAACUGACGCUGAGGCGCGAAAGCGUGGGGAGCAAACAGGAUUAGAUACCCUGGUAGUCCACGCCGUAAACGAUGAGUGCUAAGUGUUAGGGGGGUUUUCCGCCCCCCUUAGUGCUGCAGCUAACGCAUUAAGCACUCCGCCUGGGAGUACGGCCGCAAGGCUG
rnacentral:rRNA from 1 species